AGAGUUUGAUCCUGGCUCAGAUUGAACGCUGGCGGAAUGCUUUACACAUGCAAGUCGAACGGCAGCACGGGAGCUUGCUCCUGGUGGCGAGUGGCGAACGGGUGAGUAAUGCGUCGGAACGUACCGAGUAAUGGGGGAUAACGCAGCGAAAGUUGUGCUAAUACCGCAUACGCCCUGAGGGGGAAAGCGGGGGAUCGUAGGACCUCGCGUUAUUCGAGCGGCCGACGUCUGAUUAGCUAGUUGGUGGGGUAAAGGCCUACCAAGGCGACGAUCAGUAGCGGGUCUGAGAGGAUGAUCCGCCACACUGGGACUGAGACACGGCCCAGACUCCUACGGGAGGCAGCAGUGGGGAAUUUUGGACAAUGGGGGCAACCCUGAUCCAGCCAUUCCGCGUGAGUGAAGAAGGCCUUCGGGUUGUAAAGCUCUUUCAGCUGGAACGAAACGGUGCGCUCUAACAUAGCGUGCUAAUGACGGUACCAGCAGAAGAAGCACCGGCUAACUACGUGCCAGCAGCCGCGGUAAUACGUAGGGUGCGAGCGUUAAUCGGAAUUACUGGGCGUAAAGCGUGCGCAGGCGGAUUGUUAAGCAAGAUGUGAAAUCCCCGGGCUUAACCUGGGAAUGGCAUUUUGAACUGGCAGUCUAGAGUGUGUCAGAGGGGGGUGGAAUUCCACGUGUAGCAGUGAAAUGCGUAGAGAUGUGGAGGAACACCGAUGGCGAAGGCAGCCCCCUGGGAUAACACUGACGCUCAUGUACGAAAGCGUGGGUAGCAAACAGGAUUAGAUACCCUGGUAGUCCACGCC
rnacentral:rRNA from 1 species